rnacentral:rRNA from 1 species
UACGUAGGGGGCUAGCGUUGUCCGGAAUCAUUGGGCGUAAAGAGCGUGUAGGCGGCCCGGUAAGUCCGCUGUAAAAGCCAAAGGCUCAACCUUUGAAUGUCAGUGGAUACUGCCGGGCUAGAGUCCGGAAGAGGCGAGUGGAACUCCUGGUGUAGCGGUGGAAUGCGCAGAUAUCAGGAAGAACACCAACGGCGAAGGCAGCUCGCUGGGACGGUACUGACGCUGAGACGCGAAAGCGUGGGGAGCGAACAGG